AUACGGAGGACGCGAGCGUUAUCCGGAUUCAUUGGGUUUAAAGGGUGCGCAGGCGGCCGUGCAAGUCAGCGGUGAAAGCCCGGGGCUCAACCCCGGAAGUGCCGUUGAUACUGCGUGGCUGGAAUGCGGUCGAGGCGGGCGGGACGGGGCGGGUAGCGGGGAAAUGCGUAGAUAUGCCACAGAACGCCGAUAGCGGAGGCAGCUCGCCAGGCCUGCAUUGACGCUCGGGCACGAAAGCGUGGGGAUCAAACAGGAUUAGAUACCCUGGUAGUCCACGCCGUAAACGAUGGGCGCUCGUCGUCGGCGACAGACAGUCGGCGGCCAAGCGAAAGCGAUAAGCGCCCCACCUGGGGAGUACGGUCGCAAGGCUGAAACUUAAAGGAAUUGACGGGG
rnacentral:rRNA from 1 species